rnacentral:lncRNA from 1 species
GGACAGAUAACUAAAAGAAGAGUAGACAGAGAGAGAGAGAGAGAGAGAGAGAGAGAGAGAGAGAGAGAAGAAGAAAAGAGAGAGGAGAAUGGGACAGAGAACUAAAAGAAGAGUAGACAGAGAGAAAGCACAAUGGACUUUGUAGCCAGCCUGUUGAAGCAUGAGAUGAGGCAGUGUGUUAUUUGGUGAGGCAGUGUGUUACUUGGUGAGGCAGUGUGUUAUUUGAUGAGACAGUGUGUUACUUGGUGAGGCAGUGUGUUACUUGGUGAGGCAGUGUGUUACUUGGUGAGACAGUGUGUUACUUGGUGAGGCAGUGUGUUACUUGGUGAGGCAGUGUGUUACUUGGUGAGACAGUGUGUUACUUGGUGAGGCAGUGUGUUACUUGGUGAGACAGUGUGUUACUUGGUGAGACAGUGUGUUAUUUGAUGAGGCAGUGUGUUACUUGGUGAGGCAGUGUGUUACUUGGUGAGGCAGUGUGUUACAGUUUUUUAAUUUCAGAAAACUCACAACCAAUGAUCAAACUGCAACAUUUUCUAAACUCUUAACACUUUUUCCAGUUGCUUGGAUACAAUACACAUAAAGAUAAGAUCAUUUGUUCAUUGAACUAAAAUCACCUGUUCAAAAUGACACAACUUUAACAUCAAAAUAUUACCAUUUCAAAAUGCAAUUCACACAUUACAUCUGAAAUGACUGUCUAUUCAUUUCAUUACAAUGAUCUAACUAUCAAUUGAUACAACUGCUCAAAAUGAUAAUUAACUGUUGCAGUACUCUUCAUGCAUAGUUUUAUGGAAAUUAACAAACAAUAUUCCAUGUUUAGAUCAUGAAAGUUUCAGGAUAACGAGAUCCAUUGACACCAAUUACCGUGGAACAUGAACCAAUUGGACUACAUUAUCUAUGGAUGUAAUAUUUCAUCAUCAUUCUUUAUCAGACACUGUUUCUAUGGUCCCAUGUACCACUUUUCCAGACCAUGUUUUCAGAUUUGACAUUACUGCACACUCACUGGCCACUUUAUUAGGUACACCUAUCUAGUAAUGGGUAGGACCCCCUUUUGCCUCCACAACAG